UCAUAUUCCUGGGAGAAAAAUCUUCCUGAUUUUCAGCAAGAUCUUGCAUUUCACCUAUGGCUUCUGAGUCUUGCACAGGGUCAGUGAUUGCAGUUCAGGCAGUAGAACAGGCCAGGCUGGCUUUUGCUGGCUCCUCCCGCAUUCCCCUCCCUCCAAGGAUAACUUCAAUUUCAUUGGAGUUAUAUUUAAACAGCAGCCUAUGAAACAACAGAAACAAGGUGGGAACCCCGUCCGUCCUAUUUUGAGGCCAUCUUGCCUGUUUGCCUGCGACAAGACCCUCUAGCCCUCACAUAUAGGGGUCUCUGGGUGACUGGCUGCCCAGGGACUGGGAGUAUGGGUACAAAUGGUGCACGCUUGGAGGUCGGACAGACUUGGGAAAGUCACCAUACCUCCCCACUUCCGGAAGCAUUUCUGGAAUCCCCGCCCUCAGCCCUCUGCCACGGCCUAGCUUUGCUCCCCAGAGACCGUCAUCAGGGACUUGGAAGGCUCCUCCACGGGGUGAGCUUUUGCAAGUUCUCAUUGUCUACAUCACUCCAGUGCUUUACCCAUCUCAACACCGACUGUCACUAGGGAAGCGCGGACAGGAGGCCACCACACACCAUCAGAAGGGCUAAGAUAACAUGGCGACAGUACCAAAAGCUGGCAAGGAUGGGGAAACACCGGAUCACUCGUACACUGGGAAUGCAAAAUGGCACAGGCUGUCUGGAAAAUGGUCUGACAGUGUCUUUAAAAAACUGAAACUUCAACGGCCAUCAAACCUUACGAUUGUACUUACCCUGGUGAUUUCCUGGGGUGGGGGUCUGUUUACAUGAAAACCUGUACACAGAUGGUCCCCGCAGCCUUAUUCUUGACAGGCUGUCCUUUGCGAGCUCACGUGUCUUUCCACAGGUGAAUGGUUAAGCGAACUGUGGUACCUUGGGACCCUGCCGUCCUGCUCUGUCCAAAAUGAAUUACUGAUGUGUGUCAUACACAAAACGGAUGAAUGGCCAGGAAGUGAAGCCAGGCAUGAGAGAAGUUUGCUGAGCCUGGAGUUUUCUUUCAUGAGACUCUCGUGAGGAUGUCUGCUUGCUAUGGGGCUGUUCAAGCCUCACAAAAUGGGACCAUGGGUCAAGACCUAUGAAAGAUAUUUUCAAAGGCUUGGAAGACAGAAGCCUACAGGGGGUCAUCUCAGCACGGAGGCCCAGCUGCGCGGUAUGGUUGUUUCUUUGGGAAACCCGGGCGCGUGCAGAGUCACCCAGGUCGAGAUCCACGAGGAGUGUGCGUCCGUCUGUCCACUCACCCAGCAGUAACUGACUGGGGUGGCUCGCGAAGAAGGGGCACGGGCUGGGCAGCGUGAUGGGUUCAGCGUAAGGCUCCCCGAGAAACCACACCGUGACAGGCUGCAGGAGCUCGGACACGCGCGGAGGGCUUCCUUACGCAGAGCCUGCUCUCCGUGGCGCUCCCGUCGACACUGCACGGGCUGGAGCACACGAGAAGAUCAGGAAACUGAUGAAAGCAGACCGUACUGAUGCUUUCCAAGCUGCGGAGAGAGAAAAGAGCCCACUCUUCCGGGAGCCGCCCUUUCACACUGGGGCCCCGCCCGGACUGAAGCCUGUAUCCCUACUCUUACCAUGUGUCCCUGUGUCAGAGGUCACGCGGAGCCACCCGGGAGUGCUGCUAGGGGCUUCGUGGAAUCACAGCAGUGCUAUCCACCGGUGAAGGAGCAAGGUCUUCGGGUCGGUGAGAUCAGCUUGCAUUCUGGUGCUUGCGCCUCAGUUUCUUUAUUGUGCACGAGAAAAUCAGACCAGACCUGGCUGGUUCACACCUGGGAGCUGACUUUACAGUGGAAGCUGUUCUUCCUGUCUCCACCAGCGGAGGGAUUUGGGAGAGACGCGUUCAGAAGAUGGAGUGGCACUUGAGCCCAAGCCUUCUGCUCAGCUGGCACAUGUCCCUGCCUGAGUACGAAGGGUCUGUGAGGAAGACCACCUCCCAGGGUCAGCACAGUUUGUUCAGGAAUCUGGGUCCUGGUUUCCAACCCUUGGUCUGGCCUUAGGAUCAGCCUGGGGGGUCCUGUUAAAAAGUUGCCCUGGUCUCACUCCAGAGCUACUGAGACAGAAUAUUCCAACCUAGAGUUUGGGAAUAUAUAUAGCUGCAUAGCUCCAAUAGAUUUCAUACACCCACCUUUGUAGAAAACACUAUUCACAGUAGCCAAAAGGUGGAAGGAACCUGUGCCCACCAACGGGUGAAUGAAUGGACAAACAUAAUGUGGUAUGUGUAUGCAAUAGAAUACUACUCAGCCAUAAAAAGGAAGGAAAUUCUGACACAUGCUAUAACAUGGAUGAACCUUGAUGACAUCAUGAUAAGCAAAAUAAGCCAACCACAACAAGACAAGAAUUAUGUGAUCUCACUUCCAUGAGGUACCUAGAGUAGUCAAAUGCGUGGAGACAGAAAGAAGAGUGGUUGCCAGGGGCUGGGGGCUGGAAAAUGGAGAGUUAAUGUUUAACGAUGCAGUUUCAGUUGGGAAUAAGAAACUUCCGGAAGUGGGUGGUGGAGAUGGCUGUGUCACUGUAUGAAUGUAUUUACAUUACUGAGUAAGUUUAAGUGGUCCGUUUUAAUUUGUGUACAUUUCACUAAAAAAUUAAAAUAAAGCACGCAGGCGGUCCUAACACAGGGAGUCCGGGAACUUGGACUUGAGACUCGGACUCCAUUCCAAAUCCUGUUUGCUGUUCUUUUGCCCACCUUAGCCUGCAGCCUGCCUUCCGGCCCCUGCCAUCUCGAGGAGGCGGGAAGGAGGAGGGGCGAAUAUUCCCAGCAGUCCGUGCGGCAGCAGCACCGGGAGGCAGAAAGGUCGGCUGCAGCAGGUGACAGCGCCCCUCUCCUGCCUUCCCUGCUGGACAGGGAAGCACCUUCCCAGCUCGCGCACCUUGAGGGCAAUGACAGCCACGCCUACGGGGAGGAGAGCCACCCCUGCAGGCCCCGAGACUGCGCUUCCCCCGUCUACCCCAGGCUGUCACCCCAACCUCAAGCAGUGGGUGCAGCGGCCCCUGUGUCUCCUUCUCCCCGCUUUGGAGAGUUGGGGGAAUUUUGCGAUCCUGUAGCUUUCCUCCUGGGAGAUGAAGCACAGCCACUGUGCACUGGAAG